AUAAUGGGUCAGCGACUUAUAUUCUGUAGCAAGGUUAACCGAAUAGGGGAGCCGAAGGGAAACCGAGUCUUAACUGGGCGUUAAGUUGCAGGGUAUAGACCCGAAACCCGGUGAUCUAGCCAUGGGCAGGUUGAAGGUUGGGUAACACUAACUGGAGGACCGAACCGACUAAUGUUGAAAAAUUAGCGGAUGACUUGUGGCUGGGGGUGAAAGGCCAAUCAAACCGGGAGAUAGCUGGUUCUCCCCGAAAGCUAUUUAGGUAGCGCCUCGUGAAUUCAUCUCCGGGGGUAGAGCACUGUUUCGGCAAGGGGGUCAUCCCGACUUACCAACCCGAUGCAAACUGCGAAUACCGGAGAAUGUUAUCACGGGAGACACACGGCGGGUGCUAACGUCCGUCGUGAAGAGGGAAACAACCCAGACCGCCAGCUAAGGUCCCAAAGUCAUGGUUAAGUGGGAAACGAUGUGGGAAGGCCCAGACAGCCAGGAUGUUGGCUUAGAAGCAGCCAUCAUUUAAAGAAAGCGUAAUAGCUCACUGGUCGAGUCGGCCUGCGCGGAAGAUGUAACGGGGCUAAACCAUGCACCGAAGCUGCGGCAGCGACGCUUAUGCGUUGUUGGGUAGGGGAGCGUUCUGUAAGCCUGUGAAGGUGUACUGUGAGGUAUGCUGGAGGUAUCAGAAGUGCGAAUGCUGACAUAAGUAACGAUAAAGCGGGUGAAAAGCCCGCUCGCCGGAAGACCAAGGGUUCCUGUCCAACGUUAAUCGGGGCAGGGUGAGUCGACCCCUAAGGCGAGGCCGAAAGGCGUAGUCGAUGGGAAACAGGUUAAUAUUCCUGUACUUGGUGUUACUGCGAAGGGGGGACGGAGAAGGCUAUGUUGGCCGGGCGACGGUUGUCCCGGUUUAAGCGUGUAGGCUGGUUUUCCAGGC
rnacentral:rRNA from 1 species